AUUGAACGCUGGCGGCAGGCCUAACACAUGCAAGUCGAGCGAGCGACGGACGGGUGAGUAAUGUAUGGGAAUCUGCCUGAUGGAGGGGGAUAACUACUUGAAACGGUAUCUAAUACCGCAUACUAUCAGAUGAGCCCAUCUGGGAUUGGCUAGUAGGUGGGGUAAUGGCUCACCUAGGCGACGAUCCCUAGCUGGUCUGAGAGGAUGACGAGCCAGACUGGACCUGAGACCCGGGCCAGACCCCUACGGCAGCUUGCACUGGGGAAUAUUGCAGAAUGGGCGCAAGCCUCAUCCAGCCAUGCCGAGUGUGUGAAGAAGGCCUUAGGGUUGUAAAGUACUUUCAGUGGGGAGGCGUUAUCGGCAGAAGAAGCACCGGCUAACUCCGUGCCAGCAGCCGCGGUAAUAC
rnacentral:rRNA from 1 species